rnacentral:rRNA from 1 species
GCGGUGAAGUCAGACCGGAAGGACUGGUGGAGCGCUUAGAAGUGAGAAUGCCGGUAUGAGUAGCGAAAGAAGGGUGAGAAUCCCUUCCACCGAAUAUCUAAGGUUUCCUGAGGAAGGCUCGUCCGCUCAGGGUUAGUCGGGACCUAAGCCGAGGCCGAUAGGCGUAGGCGAUGGACAACAGGUAGAGAUUCCUGUACCAGUGCUAAUUGUUUAACCGAUGGGGUGACACAGAAGGAUAGGGAAUCGCACGAAUGGAAAUGUGCGUCCAAGCAGUGAGUGUGAGAAGUAGGCAAAUCCGCUUCUCGCGAAGCAUGAGCUGUGAUGGGGAAGGAAAUUAAGUACGGAAGUUCCUGAUUUCACGCUGUCAAGAAAAGCCUCUAGGAAGAGUAGUACUGCCCGUACCGCAAACCGACACAGGUAGAUGAGGAGAGAAUCCUAAGGUGAGCGAGAGAACUCUCGUUAAGGAACUCGGCAAAAUGACCCCGUAACUUCGGGAGAAGGGGUGCUCUAUUAGGGUGCAAGCCCGAGAGAGCCGCAGUGAAUAGGCCCAGGCGACUGUUUAGCAAAAACACAGGUCUCUGCAAAACCGUAAGGUGACGUAUAGGGGCUGACGCCUGCCCGGUGCUGGAAGGUUAAGAGGAGUGCUUAGCUUCGGCGAAGGUACGAAUUGAAGCCCCAGUAAACGGCGGCCGUAACUAUAACGGUCCUAAGGUAGCGAAAUUCCUUGUCGGGUAAGUUCCGACCCGCACGAAAGGCGCAACGAUCUGGGCACUGUCUCAACGAGAGACUCGGUGAAAUUAUAGUACCUGUGAAGAUGCAGGUUACCCGCGACAGGACGGAAAGACCCCGUGGAGCUUUACUGCAACCUGAUAUGGAAUGUUUGUACCGCUUGUACAGGAUAGGUAGGAGCCGAAGAGACGUGUGCGCUAGCAUACGAGGAGGCAAUGGUGGGAUACUACCCUG